AUUGAACGCUGGCGGCAUGCCUUACACACGCAAGUCGAACGGCAGCACGGGAGCAAUCCUGGUGGCGAGUGGCGAACGGGUGAGUAAAGCAUCGGAACGUGCCCAGUCGUGGGGGAUGACGUAGCGAAAGCUACGCUAAUACCGCAUACGAUCUGUGGAUGAAAGCGGGGGACCGUAAGGCCUCGCGCGAUUGGAGCGGCCGAUGUCAGAUUAGGUAGUUGGUGAGGUAAAGGCUCACCAAGCCGACGAUCUGUAGCUGGUCUGAGAGGACGACCAGCCACACUGGGACUGAGACACGGCCCAGACUCCUACGGGAGGCAGCAGUGGGGAAUUUUGGACAAUGGGCGCAAGCCUGAUCCAGCAAUGCCGCGUGCAGGAUGAAGGCCUUCGGGUUGUAAACUGCUUUUGUACGGAGCGAAACGGCUUCCACUAAUACUGGGGGCUAAUGACGGUACCGUAAGAAUAAGCACCGGCUAACUACGUGCCAGCCGCCGCCGUAACAC
rnacentral:rRNA from 1 species